AUCACCUAAGGUCAGGAGUUCGAGACCAGCCUGGCCAACAUGGUGACACCCCGUCUCUACUAAAAAUACAAAAUUAGCCAGGCAUGGUGGCGCAUGCCUGUAAUCCCAGCUACUUGGGAGUCUGAGGCAGGAGAAUCGCUUGAGCUUGGGAGGCAGAGAUUGCAGUGAGCUGAGAUAGUACCAUUGCACUCCAGCCUGGGCGACAAGAGCAAAACUCUGUCUCAAAAAAAAAGGAGUUUUACCAAAGAUGGUAAUUGAAGCAUCAGAAAGUAAUAGAGCUGACCUAGAUUAUUAAGUAAGUGGAAUUGGGAAAAACUAACAUCUGGAUCAAGGAUGACUCUUUAAUUGUAAAAGCAGUCAUAGAAAUUACUAAGAAAAUGCUGGGCACGGUGGCUCACGCCUGUAAUCCCAGCACUUUGGGAGGCUGAGGCGGGCAGAGCACUUGAGGUCAGGAGUUUGAGACCAGCCUGGCCAACAUGGUGAAACCCUGUCUCUACUAAAAAUACAAAAAUUAGCCAGGCGUGAUGGUGAGUGCCUGUAAUCCCAGCUACUCAGGAGGCUGAGGCAGGAGAAUCACUUGAACAUGGGAGGAGGAGGUUGGGGUGAGCUGAGAUCGUGCCACUGCACUCCAGCCUGGGUAACAGAGUGAGACUCCAUCUCCAAAAAAAAAAAGGAAAAGAAAAAUAUUUUUCUUUGGAAUCCAAUAAGGUUCUUGUAAGAGCCGGUUUUAAUUUGAGGCAAAGUAACAGAGUAAAAUUGGCUCAAUCUCUAUCCACUAAUUGGCCAUUUUUGAUCAGUGCAUUGGACUUUUAACUUGCCACUAUUUAAAGGGGAAAGGAUUUGCUAAAUAAACCAAUAAUCUAAACAGGAUUACAAAGAGCCUGUUUAGCCUGCCUAAGAAAACAAACCUCUAGAGUUUAAAAAACUGUAGUGUUACUGUCUUUGCAACGUAAUAUGAUCAUUACAAAUCUUACUAAUUUUUAAAAAAAGGGUCCCGUGGGAUAAUCUCUAGGCAAAACUUUACCAGAUGUUUUAAAUACUAGGUAAGAAUGGGAAAAUAGCAUGGAUUUUCAAGUGGUCCUCAAUGUGGUCUUUCUGAGAUUCUCCCCACUCCCACCAGCUGCAUUAUUCUAUCUUGGGAAGCUCUCUCACCCACAGAGUGACUUCUAUUUCUCUCUUUUGUGGCAGCAAUCAAGAGCUUAAUUCACUGGAGCUUUAAACCAUGGGGUGUGUGAAGCCACAAGCAUUCCUCUCCCUCCAGUAAGAUUUCUGUUUGUAAAGAGAUCUGAGGAAAGGCUUUGUGAAACAAGCAAAUCUCUGACAAUAUCCUCACUCAGAUUGAAGUUCACCGGUGUUUGUUCUUUUUUAGAGCUUGAUCUCUUCUCUUUACUUUUAGUUUCCUGAAUAGUGUAUGUGUUAUUCGUCAUAUAUGUGGGAUGGGACUAGAUCUAUACCGAAUAAUCUUGAAUUGCUGAAUAAUUCUGUCACAGAUCCCAUUUGGAAUUUCUUUGCCUUGCCCUGCCCUGGAAAGGACCCUGGGCUCUGGCAGAUAAAGGGGAAUUCCCUUCAGUGAGUGGCUUCCCUGCCAAUCAUGGCAAAUUACACAGCUCUCUAGUAAAUAUCUGCACGAUGCCAACCGAGAAGAAGCGGAGGUCAGAAAAGCCAAUUUUGAGACAACACUUCAAUCCUUCCUCUAAGUCACUGUGAUUCAGAAAACAUUUAGGUGCAUCUCCUAUCCUGGAAAUAAAAACUGAUUUUUGCAAAGGUUAAAUGAGAUGCGACACAUUAAAGAGGCUAUUGUGUAACUCUUACUAUCCAAUAGCUUUUAUGCUCAUCAUCAUGUCAUUCGAUUCUGCUCAUUAACGCUCAUCCUGCAAACAUUCGAGCAAGACCAGCCACUUUCUAGUACCUCAGGCCAUCCUUUGUCAGCUGAUUCCCUGUCACACAGAUGCUAUGUAUUUGCCUGUAUUGCAAAUAUCGUAUAUAUUAUAUAUAGUAUAUAAAUGUGUGUACAUACAUGUUUUCAAUGUAUAGAUUUGCUGCAAAUACUUCAAUAUAAUAAAAACUGUAUUCUACUCUAGUCUGUCUUACUGUGAACUCUGUGUUUUAAAUAAGGUGUUUGUUUUUAUUUAUGUUCCAAAAGCUGCAUCAGUGUAUCCAUUCACUACAUUCUUGGGGUACCAUAGAGGUAUUUUCUACUCUGACUUUAUAAGCUAAAUAAUUU
rnacentral:lncRNA from 1 species